UAAAAACAAAUUCCAAAAAAAACUACUUAAAAUAAAAGGUGAAGAAAGAUGAUUAUGAAUUUGGUUGAUUCUAAAAACAAAUAUUAAACAAAAACAAAUACGAUAGAAGGAAAGAGUUUUGAAUAUCAAUUUAUAAAAGCACUUACCAUCACCUAGCACUCCUAUGAACUUUUACCAAUUACUUAUGAUUUGCACAUGCCACUUUGAAGGUUAGGUUUUCCUAAUGUAUAUUCUACUUGGAACCUCCAACACAGAACGUAUAUCCAAC
rnacentral:lncRNA from 1 species